CUCAACUUGGGUUUUUCCUCUACCUGGAGGGAGGGCUGAGUGGAACACACCAAAGCUCUUGAGUGAUCAAGUCUGGUCCCUGGUCCCAAAAUUAAAUCUUCUUCUUUGGAGAUCACAAAUCCAACACCAUUCACCGCAAGCUAUCAUCUUGGGAGCUUGUCUGGUAUCUUCAGGACAAGGUUUCUACCUUGCAGUCUUUGGCCCGAAUGGCGAAUGUAGUUUAAUGAAUCUCUCAGUGAAAAAAGAAGAAAAAGAUAAAAAGGAUGCUUUUGAAAGCUCAUGAUGCAAUCACAAGGAUCCACCCAGGUUUCUACCUUGCAGUCUUUGGCCCGAAUGGCAAAUGUAGUUUAAUGAAUCUCUCAGUGAAAAAAGAAGAAAAAGAUAAAAAGGAUGCUUUCGAAAGCUCAUGAUGCAAUCACAAGGAUCCACCCAGAUCAUGUGCGCUACCAAGUGACCCUUGGACUAAUCUGACCGGCUUGAGGUUGACCAAGUGACCGAUCUGCCCUCGUCUUUGAAAAUGCUGGACUUGGUAAACUCUCUCUAGGGAAUCAGAGUUCCGCCAGCCACUCCUAAG
ensembl:lncRNA